UACGAAGGGUGCUAGCGUUGUUCGGAAUCACUGGGCGUAAAGCGCGCGUAGGCGGCCUUGCAAGUCAGAGGUGAAAUCCCUGGGCUCAACCCAGGAACUGCCUUUGAAACUGCAAAGCUAGAGUGUCGGAGGGGAUAGCGGAAUUCCUAAUGUAGAGGUGAAAUUCGUAGAUAUUAGGAGGAACACCGGUGGCGAAGGCGGCUAUCUGGACGACAACUGACGCUGAGGCGCGAAAGCGUGGGGAUCAAACAGG
rnacentral:rRNA from 1 species